CCGCCAAACACCUCAAAGAUAAGUAGUCUGCUAACCAGACCUGUUAGGGAUAAGUGAAAUUUUGGAUGCUGGGAUGUAAAUGUUUACUCAUCAGAAUUGAUUAGCCAUGAGAUCUGAUUCCCACAGCAAAGGCAUACUUCUAAGGGGCAGCUCAAGAUUCGAAGCACACAAUCACAACCAUCAUUAAGUUCUGGUCUGCCAUUAAGUCUCUUGUGCUCUUAUCAGGAAAGACAUAAUUCUGCCAGGCUGGUGUGGGGAUUUUCAAAGUCAAAGAACUGCUGAAUCCUAAGAAUGUAUGCUAGCCUUCCCCAGCAUCAUGCCAACCAUCGACAACAGACCAUUGGAGAGUUUAUGAAGAAGCAGAGAAUGUGAAGAACAUGAUCAGAAAAAAGAACGCUGAAGAGGUGGAGAUGCUACUGACCUGAUUUGCUUGUCCCAUGUUGUGCGCGGCAUUGGAUUGUCACGUGUCACCCCAUAAAUAUGUACAAUUGUUAGGACUCAAAAGAAAAGGGAUAAUAAGCAUCUAGAGUUGCAGCUAGCAAGAAUAAGCAUUCCAUAAAUGUGCUGCUGUUGAAAUUUUAAAAGUUCAAUGUGGGGACAGUAGCUGUAGUAGGGGAGUAUGCACUGGAGAGGGAAACAGGAAACAGUAGGAUUAACACAUGAAAAAAGACAGUUGGCAGCGAAAGCCUGGGAGCCUGGGCUCCAUUGUAACACCACAGCAAACUGACAAUAGCCUUUAAUAGUCUUCCAUACUCAAACAGGAAAUGAGGGGGCUGUGUAAGUGCCCUUAAAGUACUGUGUAGCUCAUCUCCCACUGAUUUGGGGGCCUCUUCUCUCAGUAGGCCACUCCUAUUUUCAGGAGUCUGUUGCCUUUCUACACAAGCUGUCUCUACUUCCAUUUCUGAGUAUGGUGUAAACCUUAGUCUGGAGAUGCAAGAGCAUAGAUGCCCCCUGAACUCAUGGCUCCAUAUUAAAUGUAUUUUUCUUUUUUCUUCUCCCUUUUAAAUACUGGUCAAAAGCCUAAGCAUGCUUUCACUGACACUUGGACUUCCCACUCUUUCUCUGAAGCCUUCCUGUUCCACAUACAGGUGCUCAUGAACAUCUUUUGCUGAACACCCUGGCUUUCUGGGAACCUAAUUCAAAAAGGCAACUUUCUUCCUCUUCUCCAUCCUUUCCUCUGAGCAGCUACUGAGAUUACCAUUAGCAAGUGCCACAAAACUAGAACUAGACCACUCUGUAGGUAGAAAAGAUAAUUAUUUAGGGACAAACUGCCAGGCUGACUCACAAGAACAGACAGCAGCAGCUGGAGGGAACACCUUAUCAGUUUUAUGAGGGUAGGUAUCAAAGGUUAUGAGGUCUAUCAGCCAGAGCAGCCCCAGGAGUUAGUGUGGGGACUUUGUUUUGAUGCAGACUGUCGGGUUAAUCAGGAACUAGAUGCACUUUGCUCAAGGGUAUGGACUGUUGAAGGUGGAGAAGGGAAGUAAUCAUGGGAUUCCUGAGGGAUACUGAGUUUCUGUUUACCUAUAAUAUAAUAGUCCUUCUGUUUCUGCAGUGGAACCCGGCAUGGCUUGGGCCUGGAGGUCAUCUUAGGAUGUUGGCAGCACCGCCGUUUUAGGGGCCCACUUUGUGACAUAACAAUUGCCGUCUAUCCGCCCGGUGGCUUAGUCUCAAAUGCCAAUAAAUCGUCUCCCUGG